UGGCUCAGUUGGUAGAGUAUGGUGUUUGCAACGCCAGGGUUGUGGGUUUGAUUCCCAC
rfam:Salmo salar isolate Sally breed double haploid chromosome ssa09, whole genome shotgun sequence.